rnacentral:lncRNA from 1 species
GAUCAAUCAAGGAUUUAUUGAGCAUAAGGAGGAGCAGCAUGAGAGGCAGCUCCGCACGACAAGGUCAGUAAAUCAAUAAAUAUGUCCUUUAGACUGAUAUAGUUGUUUUGCAGGUUGUUUUUUGUUUUGCAGGCAUGAUUCUGUCGCUUCGGCCAGAACCCGAUUCGGAUAACGAAUCCACGCAUUCUGUUGCUUCGGCCAGAAUCAAACCAAGAAUUAUGUUGUCGCUUUGGCUUCAAUAGUUCUUCAAACAUUUGGAGAUCAUUUUUGUCAUUUGACCUUAAUGAUCUCGACCCAUCUUGCGCUUCGGCCUAUGGGGUAACCGUCGUUGCGGACACCAAGUCGCCCUUGAUCAGGGUAGACUAUAAACAUCAGUUCUGAUAGUGAACUAGAUUCUGUUGCUUCGGCCAGAAUCAGAUUCCAAUAGUGAAUCCACGCGAUCUGUUGCUUCGGCCAGAACCCGAUUCGGAUAACGAAUCCACGCAUUCUGUUGCUUCGGCCAGAAUCAGAUUCCAAUAGUGAAUCCAC